CCUUCAUCAACGAAGGUAGAAAAAAAUGAACCAAACUUUAAAGAAUCAUUUAAAUCGAUUUUGAAAACUUCAUUGCCUUGGACCAAGUGUCUCCCCAUUGCCCUGCUCAGAAUUCAAACUGCCCCUCAAAAAGACAUUACGUACUUGGUCUAUCUUCUAUUCGAACUGCCCCUCAAAAAGACAUUACAUACUUGGUCUAUAUUCUACUUUGUCUUCUCUUAGGACCCAAGGUCUCUUAGCACAAACACCGCCUCUUGAGUUCCCAGUGCAUCUGUAUCAAUCUGGAGAUUACGUCCUCAUCAAAAGCUGGAAAGAAGAAAAACUCGAACCAACCUGGGAGACCUUAUCUAGUGACCCUAACCACUGAGACAGCAGUCUGGACCGUUAAGAAAGGGUAGACCCAUCACACUCAGCUACCCAGGAACAUUUUAUUUUAUCAAUGUAACCUGAUCAUCGUUUCCUCAAACAAUUACAUUUGAUGCUUGUCUUGUUAUGCCCUGUGGGGACCUACAAACCCAAAGGCAACUAGCCUCUUCAGGCAAUAACAUACAGGACAUAGGCAUGGGCAAAGACUUCAUGACUAAAACACCAAAAGCAACAGCAACAAAAGCCAAAAUUGACAAAUGGGAUCUAAUUAAACUAAAGAGAUUCUGCGCAGCAAAGGAAACUAUCAUCAGAGUGAACAGGCAACCUACAGAAUGGGAGAAAAUUUUUGCAAUCUAUCCAUUUGACAAAGGGCUAAUAUCCAGAAUCUAUAAAGAACUUAAAUUUACAAGAAAAAAACAACCCCAUCAAAAAGUGGGCGAAGGAUAUGAACAGACACUUCUCCAAAGAAGACAUUUAUGCAGCCAACAAACAUGAAAAAUGGCUGAUCAUCACUGGUCAUUAUAGAAAUGCAAAUCAAAACCACAGUAAGAUACUAACUCAUGCCAGUUAGAAUGGCGAUCAUUAAAAAGUCAGGAAACAACAGAUGCUGGAGAGGAUGUGGAGAAAUAGGAAUGCUUUUUAUACUGUUGGUGAAAGUGUAAAUUAGUUCAACCAUUGUGGAAGACAGUGUGGCGAUUCCUCAAGGAUCUAUAGAACCAGAACUACCACAUGACCCAGCAAUCCCAUUACUGGGUAUAUACCCAAAGGAUUAUACAUCAUUCUGCUAUAAAGACACAUGCACACAUACGUUUAUUGCAGCACUAUUUACAAUAGCAAAGACUUGGAAUCAACCCAAAUCCCCGUCAAUGAUAGACUGGAUAAAGACAAUGUGGCACUUAUACACCAUGGAAUACUAUGCAGCCAAAAAAAGGAUGAAUUCAUGUCCUUUGCAGCGACAUGGAUGAAGCUGAGAACCAUCAUUCUCAGCAAACUAACACAAGAACAGAAAACCAAACACUACAUGUUCUCACUCAUAAGUGGGAGUUGAACAAUGAGAACACAUGGACACACGGAGGGGAACAUCACACACCAGGGCCUGUCGGGGGGUGGGGAGGCUAGGGGAGGGAUAGCAUUAGGAGAAAUACCUAAUGUAGAUGACAGGUUGAUGGGUCUGACAAACCACCAUGGCACGUGUAUACCUAUGUAAUGCAAUUGCACAUUUUGCUCAUGUACCCCAGAACUUAAACUAUAAUUAAAAAUACAUAAUUUC